AGUAAUGAAGUAAUAAAUACAUUUAGUUUCGACCUAAAACAAAGAGAAAACUUCUCCUUACUU
rnacentral:tRNA from 1 species